UACAGAGGGUGCGAGCGUUAAUCGGAAUUACUGGGCGUAAAGCGUGCGUAGACGGCUAUCUAAGUCGGGUGUGAAAGCCCCGGGCUCAACCUGGGAAUUGCAUUCGAGACUGAAUAGCUAGGGUGCGGUAGAGGGAAGCGGAAUUUCCGGUGUAGCGGUGAAAUGCGUAGAUAUCAGGAGGAACACCAAUAGCGAAGGCAGCUCGCUGGGACGGUAUUGACGCUAAGGCGCGAAAGCGUGGGGAGCAAACAGG
rnacentral:rRNA from 1 species